AACGAACGCUGGCGGCAUGCCUAACACAUGCCAGUCGAACGAGACCUUCGGGUAUAGUGGCGCACGGGUGCGUAACGCGUGGGAACCUGCCCUUAGGUUCGGAAUAACUCCCCGAAAGGGGUGCUAAUACCGGAUAAUGUCUUCGGUCCAAAGAUUUAUCGCCUUUGGAUGGGCCCGCGUUGGAUUAGCUAGUUGGUAGGGUAAAAGCCUACCAAGGCGACGAUCCAUAGCUGGUCUGAGAGGAUGAUCAGCCACACUGGGACUGAGACCCGGCCCAGACUCCUACGGGAGGCAGCAGUGGGGAAUAUUGGACAGAGGACGAAAGCCUGAUCCAGCAAUGCGGCGUGAGUGAUGAAGGCCUUAGGGUUGGAAAGCUCUUUUACCCGGGAUGAUAAUGACAGUACCGGGCGAAUAAGCGCCGGCUAACUCCGUG
rnacentral:rRNA from 1 species